rnacentral:lncRNA from 1 species
AGGUAUCCAGCCGGUUCCCCUGCAAACCAUCACCAAUGAGAACCCAUCGGGACCGAGCUUGGGGACCAUCCCGCAAGCCCACUUCCUCCUGGUGAUGCUCAGCAUGCUCACCCUGCAGCACAGCGCAAACCCCUCGCUCAGACGGCACUGCGCCUGAUUGGCCCCAGUUGUGACAGCGUUGAGGAAGAUAUGAAUGCUUCUGCUCAAGGUGCUUCUGCCACAGUUUUGGAAGAAACAAGGAAGGAAACG